rnacentral:rRNA from 1 species
AAAUUGAAGAGUUUGAUCAUGGCUCAGAUUGAACGCUGGCGGCAGGCCUAACACAUGCAAGUCGAACGGUAACAGGAAGCAGCUUGCUGCUUUGCUGACGAGUGGCGGACGGGUGAGUAAUGUCUGGGAAACUGCCUGAUGGAGGGGGAUAACUACUGGAAACGGUGGCUAAUACCGCAUAACGUCGCAAGACCAAAGAGGGGGACCUUCGGGCCUCUUGCCAUCAGAUGUGCCCAGAUGGGAUUAGCUUGUUGGUGAGGUAACGGCUCACCAAGGCGACGAUCCCUAGCUGGUCUGAGAGGAUGACCAGCCACACUGGAACUGAGACACGGUCCAGACUCCUACGGGAGGCAGCAGUGGGGAAUAUUGCACAAUGGGCGCAAGCCUGAUGCAGCCAUGCCGCGUGUAUGAAGAAGGCCUUCGGGUUGUAAAGUACUUUCAGCGGGGAGGAAGGUGUUGUGGUUAAUAACCACAGCAAUUGACGUUACCCGCAGAAGAAGCACCGGCUAACUCCGUGCCAGCAGCCGCGGUAAUACGGAGGGUGCAAGCGUUAAUCGGAAUUACUGGGCGUAAAGCGCACGCAGGCGGUCUGUCAAGUCGGAUGUGAAAUCCCCGGGCUCAACCUGGGAACUGCAUUCGAAACUGGCAGGCUUGAGUCUUGUAGAGGGGGGUAGAAUUCCAGGUGUAGCGGUGAAAUGCGUAGAGAUCUGGAGGAAUACCGGUGGCGAAGGCGGCCCCCUGGACAAAGACUGACGCUCAGGUGCGAAAGCGUGGGGAGCAAACAGGAUUAGAUACCCUGGUAGUCCACGCCGUAAACGAUGUCUACUUGGAGGUUGUGCCCUUGAGGCGUGGCUUCCGGAGCUAACGCGUUAAGUAGACCGCCUGGGGAGUACGGCCGCAAGGUUAAAACUCAAAUGAAUUGACGGGGGCCCGCACAAGCGGUGGAGCAUGUGGUUUAAUUCGAUGCAACGCGAAGAACCUUACCUGGUCUUGACAUCCACAGAACUUUUCCAGAGAUGGAUUGUGCCUUCGGGAACCUGUGAGACAGGUGCUGCAUGGCUGUCGUCAGCUCGUGUUGUGAAAUGUUGGGUUAAGUCCCGCAACGAGCGCAACCCUUAUCCUUUGUUGCCAGCGGUUAGGCCGGGAACUCAAAGGAGACUGCCAGUGAUAAACUGGAGGAAGGUGGGGAUGACGUCAAGUCAUCAUGGCCCUUACGACCAGGGCUACACACGUGCUACAAUGGCGCAUACAAAGAGAAGCGACCUCGCGAGAGCAAGCGGACCUCAUAAAGUGCGUCGUAGUCCGGAUUGGAGUCUGCAACUCGACUCCAUGAAGUCGGAAUCGCUAGUAAUCGUGGAUCAGAAUGCCACGGUGAAUACGUUCCCGGGCCUUGUACACACCGCCCGUCACACCAUGGGAGUGGGUUGCAAAAGAAGUAGGUAGCUUAACCUUCGGGAGGGCGCUUACCACUUUGUGAUUCAUGACUGGGGUGAAGUCGUAACAAGGUAACCGUAGGGGAACCUGCGGUUGGAUCACCUCCUUACCUUAAAGAAGC